GUUCCCAGGCUAGGGGUCGAAUGGGAGCUGCAGCCGGCCUACACCACAGCCACAGCAAUGUGGGAUCCAAGCCACAUCUGUGAUUCACACCACAACUCAAGGCAACGCCGGAUCCUUGACCCACUAAGCCAGGGAUCAAACCCACGUCCUCAUGGAUAUUAGUCAGGUUUCAAUGAACUGGCACAGGUCUGCCCCCAUGGACCCCAGCCUGAUGCUCCAGUGGCCGAGAGCUAAGGGAUUCCUGCCCCUCCAAGGACAGCCUGCUCUUCCCUUGGCUUCUCAGCCCCUCAUCCCACCACCUUGGUGUAGGAGUGAAAAACCCCUCCCUCUGCUGUUCCCAGAGAGGCCCCCUUUGCCCACCCAAGGCUACCAUGCUCCCUGGUCCUUAUUGAAGGUGAAUUUUUGCUGUCAUUACUGAAGCACAUAUGCAAAGCUAGGUUUAAAUAUAACAUUCUGGGUCAGUGAGCUGGGAUACUUCGUUCUUUUCAUCUAUCUUGGGCUCCAAACGGAAAGAGAGACAGUGCUCCAUUUUAGUUGCUCCAGGAGCUCAGUCUGAAACUCCAGGUGUUAAGAAGGGGAGAUGCCUGGAAGCUUUGGGCUGUGGUUACCAGCCGAAGAGGAGGAGCCCAGCACCAGAACUGACUUGGUGCCAUGGGGUCCUGGAGAUGGGCAGGAGCCAAGAAGGCCCUUGCCUAGGGUGAGAGGACUGCCCAGUGCCACCAGGGACAGAACCUUCAGCAGGGAAGCAGAUGAAGGAGGUGACUCAAAGGUUGUGAAAGCCAGUUGUGCGGCUCAAGCCCAGUGGGCUAGCUCUCAGCUUGAAGCCCCUAGUGACGGACAGCCUGGAGGAGGGCCCCCUUCCCCCCACCCACCCCGACCAAGAAUCCUGAGUGGUUUCCAUGAAGAAGUUUGCAUGAACAGAGGCAGAGACAGGGGUGUGCUGUAAACAGUCUGGCAAGAGCUGGGGACUUGGAAGCGGGAGAGAGCCAGGUAAGCUUGGCCAGGCCAUUUGAGCUCGGCUCCCAGCACUGAAUGCCAAGCUCAAAGCUUUGGAUGAAGCCAUAAAAUGCUGAAGAAGUGGAAACCACCGUGAUGGGAAUGCCCCUAUUUAAGUGAACCCAGGAUGUAUCCUUAUUUAAAGGGACUGAGCAGAACCAGGCUCCUCCUCCACACCUAGGAGGUCCUGCUGGCUUCCCAUGGCAUCCUGGCUGAUUCUUGGAUGAUGUGUGAAGUAGGAAUUAGUAACCUAUAGGGCUACAGAAGGUUGUAUAAUUGGCCCUCAUUCUUGAGUUUGUCCUGGAUUCAUGCCUUUUGCUAUUACAGGCAUGCUUAUGCCAUUCACAGAGUGUAGUCAAUUUCCUUGCCCUAGGUUUUGUGUCUAGUCAUGUGACUUGCUUUGGCCAAUGGACUGAGAGGGGCCAGUUGGAAUCUAGACCUUAAAAGGUGUUGCAGGUUUCCAUCUGCCUCCUUGUGCCUCUGCACUCAACAUGAGAACAUUCCCCUCAAUGAGUUUGCUGGCUCCAGACAGAAGCUCAGAGACAAGCAGAGCCAGCCUGGAUCAGGCAACCCCUGGCCCACAUGAAGACUCAUGAGGUAAAGAGUGCUUAUUAUUGUAUCUGGCUGAGGUAUGGGGUUUGUUACACAGCAUUACUCUGGCCAUGCUUCAUUGACACACUGGGAUCAAAACAGACUUUCUCAGAGUUGUAGUGAGGAAUGAAAAUAAUCCAUCUAAAACUCUUAGAGAUGAGAGUUUCGGUUUGGGAAGAUGAAAUUUCUGGUGAUGGAUGGUGGUGAUGGUUGUAUAACAAUGUGAAUACAGGGGACCCUUGAACAAUGUGGGUCCCAUUAUGCAUGAAUUUCUUUCAACAAAUGCAGUAUUAUGUUUAUGUUCAGUGGUUGGUUGAGUCCGUGGAUGUGGAACCACAGAUAAGGAGGGCCAACCAGGCGGAUUUUGCUAUCUAUGGCAGGUCCUGGAACCAGCACCCCAUAGAUGACUGUGUACUUAAUGCCACUGAAUUGAACCCUCAAACGUGGCUAAAAUGGUAAAUUUGAUAUUAUGUUUGUCUUAACCACAGUAAAACAAACCCAAACACUUAGUGCCUGGCACAUAGGGGAUGCUUGAUAAAUGUUAGCAAUUAUCGGAAGACAGGAGGAGGUGUGUGGUGAACCUACAUACUCCAACCACAUUACAAGGGGUGAUAAUGAAGGCCCAGGCUCCCCAAAUCACUCAGGAGUGAUUGGCCUGUCUGCUCAUUUCUUAAAGGAAGGGGCAUAAACUCAUUCACACUAACAGGCUGAAGGGGCAUUUGCAGUGGUGACAGAAUAAAGAGAAUAAGGAGAGAGCUGGAAGACUGUUCAGCUGUGUCUAACUUCAUUCCCCUCACUGAGAGCUGCUGAAGCUCAGAGAAGCAACCCUCAAAUCACUCAGGAACUGGGUGGUGGAUCUAAAAUGGGGAACCAGGGUCUCUUGACUCCUAGUCCAGUGCUCUUUCUAGGCUGCUUCAGACGGACACACUAAAGCAUCAUUAAAUCACUAACUGGGAAUCUCAGGCAUGUGCAGUCAGGAUUUGGGGAUUCCUGGUACAUGGCAAAUCAUGUGCAUGAGACAUCAGCCAGUGCUAUUCCUGCCUUCCGGUUCCUGGGACACGUGGUACAGAGACAGAAUGUGGGGUUUUUGUUUUUGCCCCCUCCUCUUUUUUUUUUUUUUUUUUUUUGUCUUUUUAGGGCUGCACCUGAGGCAUAUGGAGGUUCCCAGGCUAGGCAUCUAAUUGGAGCUGUUGCUUCUGGCCUAUGCCACAACCACAGCAACACCAGAUCCGAGCCGCUGUCCUCAUGGCUGCUAGUCAGAUUCAUUUCUAAUGGGCCACAACAGGAACUCCCCUCCUUUUUUUAAAAAAAAUGAAGCCAAAUAUAUUUCUGUAUGAUAUCUUUACUCCGAUUUUGGACAGGGUUAAUUAAAAGGAAAAAAAUACAUAUUAAAAGGCCAAUUUGAUUACUGCUACAUAUUAGUAAUGUGAUGAAUAAUUGAUUGAAUGUCUAUGUUAAUUGCUUCCUGAAUCAGUGAUUUUGCUACUGAAUACUGAAGAGCUGUUGCUAUUUUGAAAUUAGUAAUAAUUUCACUGCACCAGGAGGGCAGAAUGUACCACAUGAGUACCCCUGGGUUUAAGCCUCCCUCUACUGGGCGUCCACUCCCUUCAUCCCGACUUCUCUAUUUCUUCCCUGGGUCUUUGUCUACCACUGGCUCCUGGGACCAGCAAGUCUCAAAGGUCCUUUGUUUAUAUCAGACUUCAAGGGGAGCUUGUUGAAAUGCAUAUUCCCCGCUCCAGGUUAUUAUCUGGCAAACCUGGGAAUCUGUAUUGUUAACAAGCAUCUCUGAGCUGGGUUGGGGGUUUCCCUUUGAAAAGAGCUGGCUGAGGUAGAGAUGCCAUGUGAGGUCCUGUCUCCAAACUCUGAGGGCAAUGGCUUCUUCUCACUGGGUUUCAACCCUCAGCAUCUUUGCUGGUGAAUCUCCAUCCAGUGCAACUCGUCUGUCAAUCUGCGAGUGGCCUCCCACAGGCUGCUUUUCCUCUGUGAGCUGCCAGGUCAGCAGAUAGGGGAUAUGCCCAGCCCUACUUCUCUAACUGAGAAGCCUCUUCUACUCUCUUACCAGCUCUUUCCCAAACACCCAUUCAGCAGCCGCUCCUACCUGUUUCUCCUCAGUAUAAAUCCUAUUGCAAUAUUUAUUUCUGCGACUUUUAAAAGUAGGUUUCCAAGAGUCCUUUUCCUCUUCCCAAAGGUCCUUCUAUUUCCUGUCUGUUUCAUAGAUGCAGCAUCUUCCUCCUUUGAUAUGUUAAUUACAUUGGUUUUGGGCAGUUAUCUUCUGCUUCCUGCAUCACCUCUAAUUUCUCUCAGUUUUUUUUCUCUCUGCUUUGGUCCUCACUUUCUUCAGAAAGUGGAUGUCUAUUUGCACUUAGGGGAGAAGCACAAACAGCUCCGUGGGAAUUCUGUGGGUGGGGGUGAUCAAUGAAGGGUGGGCUUCACUGAAGGUAGCUGAGGUGGGCUGUGUUCUGGGAGGCUCCAACAUGGCAGUGUCUAUGGGUGUUUCUCUGGGGGCUGGUGAGUUUCCCCAGAGCAGAAUCAUCUAGCUUUCUGCCCAGGGGAUCUGCCUGGCUGCAGGCACUCUCAGAGCAAACUAGACAACUGGUUUUUCCCAUAUCUACUUUGUCUUCCAUUGGCUUUCACUCCAUCUCCUCCUUCUCACAUGGCCUCUAACAAAACCUCAUCCUUAGCUGUGCCUCCAACACACUUUCUGCCAGCACGUCUGACCACCCUUGCUGCCUGAGACUAUCGGGUUCCAGUCUCCUUGGCACCAGCUCUUCCUCCCCUCCAGGCCAGGUGGACACCUGCUAAGGCCCAGCUCACAUGCCUCAUCUCUGGGCAGCCUCCCUGUGGGCCCUCCUGAGUCUCAUACAGGUGGUCGAGGGCACAGGCUCUGGAGCCAGACUACCUGGAUUCAGGAUCUCUUGGGGCCUGACAAGUUCUGGCCCCUCUGAGCCUAGCCCCCUCCUGAGGAACGGGGCAUGAGAACAGCACUACUUCUCCAGGAGGACAGGAGGAGAGGCUGUGAGGGAAACCCAGCAUGGAGCCUGGCACAGGGCACGCCCUGGAACACCAGCUCUUCUAGCUACUGCUAUUACGUUCCACCUUUGAGCUGAGCAUACACCCAUUUCACACAGUGCCCUGGGAGGCAGAGGAGAUGUCCUGUGUGGGUGAGUGGUGGAUGCAGCCAGGUGGUGACAGGGCCCAGGAGUCUUCUCCUUUUUAUCUCUAGGGACAAAGUUCGAGGGAGAGCCACAGGGGUCAGAAAGAACCUCAGAAGCACUGAGCAGACGCCAGAUCCCUUUCUUUCCUUUGAAUGGAAUUCUGUUUAGUGCCAACGCAUCCCACAACACAUGUGAAUACAACAGACAGAUGGACUACAGGUGAAAGGUGCCUGACGCGUGAUCCUACUCUCUCUUCUAUAUUCUUAUUAAUUGAGAACAUUAAGGAAAACAAGUAAAAAUAUUUUGUUUCGACUCAUUGUUAAAAACUUCACCAAAAGUCAGACCUGGAAGACCUCUUUUAGGAUCCCUGAGCAGGUGGGAAAACCGAGGAUCAGAGAGGCAGAUGGGUUCAUCCAGGGUCACACAGAGAGGGCUGCAGGGCAAGAGGACAGCUGGGUUCCCAAAUCCCAGGCCCACACCCACGCUGGCCUCCUUGUGAAUCUGCUUUGCACCCCACAACACACACAUUCCUUCCUGUCUUUGGGGCCAGGACCUGCACAGGAAUUCUGCUUUCUUGACCUCUGCAAGGGUUCAUUAAUGAGCCCCUCCCAGCCCCUAGGUCCUCUCCAGCCAGGACUAGGGAAGGGGAAGGUUAAGGGGAAACCAUUCCUAGAUUUAACCCCAAACAGAUACUAGAGGGCAUGUGGGGUUUGUUUUCUUUUAAAAGCUUUAAAGGAGUAUGGGGGGUGUGUGUGUGUGUGUGUAUGCGCGCGCACACACACGCUUGCUUUCUCUUAAAAGUGCCAUAGUAAGAAAAACGACACUAUAAUUAAUCAAGGGUCUUGGCUAAGAGAGGGAAGGUUAUUUUGUGUGUGUUUUUUUCUCCCUGCCCAAGCCUCAGGUUUUCCCAUCUGUAAAAUGGGAAUAAUAAAUCUCACAGACUCAUGAGAAUUGAAGGACUCAAGGGUAAAUGUACCCGGUCUAAUACAAGGAACACCACUGGUCAUCAAUAAAUGUCAACCCUGGUGUAUAGAGUUCCUUCUGCUGGAUGCUGGAAGCAGCCAUGGAAAGGAAUGCGAGGCCAUAAUCUAGCUCGUCACCGUGUUAUUUAAAACAAACAAGAAAUUACAAGUCCCUCGUUGCCUAGCAACGCUGAAACUAUAGCAGAUGGACUGGCCGUUCCAGGGCGUGGCCGCUUAGAAUCACAGUCUAACAUCCACGGCAGCAGAGCACGUACUUGGUUUGAGCUCUAACUGGAUGCUGGGCCCCGUGCUCUGCCCACAGGACGUCAUUCCU
rnacentral:lncRNA from 1 species